CUGGCAGUCAGAGGCGAUGAAGGGCGUACUAAUCUGCGAUAAGCGCCGGUAAGGUGAUAUGAACCGUUAUAACCGGCGAUACCCGAAUGGGGAAACCCAGUGUGAUUCGUCACACUAUCAUUAACUGAAUCCAUAGGUUAAUGAGGCGAACCGGGGGAACUGAAACAUCUAAGUACCCCGAGGAAAAGAAAUCAACCGAGAUUCCCCCAGUAGCGGCGAGCGAACGGGGAGGAGCCCAGAGCCUGAAUCAGCAUGUGUGUUAGUGGAAGCGUCUGGAAAGGCGCGCGAUACAGGGUGACAGCCCCGUACACAAAAGCGCAUGUGCUGUGAGCUCGAUGAGUAGGGCGGGACACGUGGUAUCCUGUCUGAAUAUGGGGGGACCAUCCUCCAAGGCUAAAUACUCCUGACUGACCGAUAGUGAACCAGUACCGUGAGGGAAAGGCGAAAAGAACCCCGGCGAGGGGAGUGAAAAAGAACCUGAAACCGU
rnacentral:rRNA from 2 species